UCAGAUUGAACGCUGGCCUUAUGCCUUACACAUGCAAGUUGAACGGCAGCACGGGUGCUUGCACCUGGUGGCGAGUGGCGAACGGGUGAGUAAUACAUCGGAACAUGUCCUGUAGUGGGGGAUAGCCCGGCGAAAGCCGGAUUAAUACCGCAUACGAUCUACGGAUGAAAGCGGGGGACCUUCGGGCCUCGCGCUAUAGGGUUGGCCGAUGGCUGAUUAGCUAGUUGGUGGGGUAAAGGCCUACCAAGGCGACGAUCAGUAGCUGGUCUGAGAGGACGACCAGCCACACUGGGACUGAGACACGGCCCAGACUCCUACGGGAGGCAUCAGUGGGGAAUUUUGGACAAUGGGCGAAAGCCUGAUCCAGCAAUGCCGCGUGUGUGAAGAAGGCCUUCGGGUUGUAAAGCACUUUUGUCCGGAAAGAAAUCCUUGGCUCUAAUACAGUCGGGGGAUGACGGUACCGGAAGAAUAAGCACCGGCUAACUACGUGCCAGCAGCCGCGGUAAUACGUAGGGUGCGAGCGUUAAUCGGAAUUACUGGGCGUAAAGCGUGCGCAGGCGGUUUGCCAAGACCGAUGUGAAAUCCCCGGGCUCAACCUGGGAACUGCAUUGGUGACUGGCAGGCUAGAGUAUGGCAGAGGGGGGUAGAAUUCCACGUGUAGCAGUGAAAUGCGUAGAGAUGUGGAGGAAUACCGAUGGCGAAGGCAGCCCCCUGGGCCAAUACUGACGCUCAUGCACGAAAGCGUGGGGAGCAAACAGGAAUAGAUACCCUGGUAGUCCACCCCCUAAACGAUGUCAACUAGUUGUUGGGGAUUCAUUUCCUUAGUAACGUAGCUAACGCGUGAAGUUGACCGCCUGGGGAGUACGGUCGCAAGAUUAAAACUCAAAGGAAUUGACGGGGACCCGCACAAGCGGUGGAUGAUGUGGAUUAAUUCGAUGCAACGCGAAAAACCUUACCUACCCUUGACAUGGUCGGAAUCCUGCUGAGAGGUGGGAGUGCUCGAAAGAGAACCGGCGCACAGGUGCUGCAUGGCUGUCGUCAGCUCGUGUCGUGAGAUGUUGGGUUGAGUCCCGCAACGAGCGCAACCCUUGUCCUUAGUUGCUACGCAAGAGCACUCUAAGGAGACUGCCGGUGACAAACCGGAGGAAGGUGGGGAUGACGUCAAGUCCUCAUGGCCCUUAUGGGUAGGGCUUCACACGUCAUACAAUGGUCGGAACAGAGGGUUGCCAACCCGCGAGGGGGAGCUAAUCCCAGAAAACCGAUCGUAGUCCGGAUUGCACUCUGCAACUCGAGUGCAUGAAGCUGGAAUCGCUAGUAAUCGCGGAUCAGCAUGCCGCGGUGAAUACGUUCCCGGGUCUUGUACACACCGCCCGUCACACCAUGGGAGUGGGUUUUACCAGAAGUGGCUAGUCUAACCGCAAGGAGGACGGUCACCACGGUAGGAUUCAUGACUGGGGUGAAGUCGUAACAAGGUA
rnacentral:rRNA from 1 species